GUGGUUAGUGGGCUCCCUGGUGGGAGGUUAGCUGAGAGAGGCCCCAGAGGGGGCACCUUGAGGUUGCCCAGGUCACUGUGGAUGAAGGAAAUGUGACAACAGCACAAGCUGAGGUGGUCAGGGCCGGGCGCAGUGGCUCAUGCCUGUAAUCCCAGCACUCUGGGAGGCCGAGGUGGGUGCAUCAUUCGGUCAGGAGUUCAAGACCAGCCUGGCCAACGUGGUGAAACCCCAUCUCCACUACAAAUACAAAAAUUAGCCAGGCGUGGUGGCACAUGCCUGUAGUCCCAGCUACUCGGGAGGCUGAGGCAGGAGAAUUGCUUGAACCCAGGAAGCAGAGGUUGCAGUGAGCUGAGAUCGUGCCACUGUACUCCAGCCUGGGUGACAGAGUGAGACUCUGUCUCAGAAAAAAAAAAAAAAAGGUGGUCAGGUCAGUUGAGGUCACCGAGACCAUCAAGGGGACUCUGAACUGAGAGAGGAGCAAUCCCUGAUGCCCAUGAUUCUGUGUGUUCAGAGCUCUUGAGUGCUUAUCCCGGUGUCAAGUUAACACAGGCCUAAAAUGAAGCGGAUGGUAACCUGGGAGCAACCGAUACGACAGUGCCCAGGAUGCGUGGCACACCCCCACCUGGCUGUCACGGCUGGACAGGAUCUCUCCCACCAUGGCCCUCUUGUGUCACAGCCACCUGACCCCCAGUGAUGGCCUUCCCAGGGGAGUCCGGACAAAGCGUGUCUCCCACACCUCCUCCUCCCACCCCGACCCUUCUGCAGACCACUCACCACCUGUGCUGUCUCCUGACCCAGCCCCAGGGAGAAGAAAGAAGGCAUGGCGCAGGGGAAGCAGAGGGGCUGGAAGUCAUUCAGGGCUGGGAGUAAGCAGUAAGGUUUUACACUCGGGACUCAGCGAAAGGACAGCGUGCUGACUUCUGAGUCAGACUGAUCUGGAUUUGAACCUCAGCUCCAGCUCUUGCCAGCUAUGUGGUCUUCGACGAAUACUUCCACCCCUGUGUGGUGCAGUUUGCUCAUCUGCAAAAUGGGACUAAUCUAAUAUAUAUGAUGGGCUUGGAUAUGUCUCUUUAUGCAUUUAUACAUGGAAGAAUGCACCCCAAACUCAGUAGUAUUGGUGACAUCUGGGGAGGGAUGCAGGGUUGGGGGAGGACUGAAAAAGGCUUUUGCUUUUUACUCUGCGUUAUGUUUAUUAUUAUUAUAUUAUUAUUUAUUUAUUUUUUUUGAGACGGAGUCUCACUCUGUCGUCCAGGCUGGAGUGCAGUGGUGCUAUCUUGGCUCACUGCAAGCUCCGCCUCCCAGGUUCACGCCAUUCUCCUGCCCUAGCCUCCUGAGUAGCUGGGACUACAGGCGUCUGCCACCACGCCCGGCUAAUUUUUUGUAUUUUUAGUAGAGACGGGGUUUCAUCGUGUUAGCCAGAAUGGUCUCGAUCUCCUGACCUCGUGAUCCGUCCGCCUCGGCCUCCCAAAGUGCUGGGAUUACAGGCGUGAGCCACCGCACCCAGCUAUGUAAUGUUAUUUUUGUGAAUUUUUUUAACCACAAGAGCAAUCCAUCUAUUAGUUUUAUCUUUUUUUUUUCUUUUUUUUUUUGAGAUGGAGUUUCACUCUUGUUGCCCAGGCUGGAGUGCAGUGGCGCGAUCUCGGCUCACUGCAACCUCCGCCUCCCAGGUUCAAGUGAUUCUCCUGCCUCAGCCUCCCAAGUAGCUGGGAUUAGAGGCAUGCGCCACCAUGCCUGGCUUAUUUUAUAUUUUUUAGUAGAGACGGGAUUUCUCCAUGUUAGUCAGGCUAGCCUCCAACUCCCGACCUCAAGUGAUCCUCCUGCCUCGGCCUCCCAAAGUUCUGGGAUUAUAGGCGUGAGCCACCGCGCCUGGCUAUUAUUUAUUAUAAAUAAUAUAUGUAAGCUGGGCAUGGUGGUGAAAGCCUGUAGUCCUAGCUACUCAGGAGGCUGAGCGGGGAGGAUUGCUUGAGCCCAGGAGUUUGAGGCUGCAGUGAACUAUGAUCGUGCCACUGCACUCCAGCCCCUGCGACAGAGAGAGACCUCGUCUCAAAAAAUAAACACAUAAAUAAAUAAAAUAUGUAAAAUGGCUGGCAUAGAGUAGACAAUAAAUGGUCACUGCUAUUUUUAUAUUUUACUUUUUUUUUUUUGAGAAGGAGUCUUGUCCUGUCACCCAGGCUGGAGUGCAAUGGCGCCAUCUCAGCUCACUGCAACCUCUGCCUCCUGGGUUCAAGCCAUUCUCCUGCCUCAGCCUCCUGAGUAGGUGGGAUUGCAGGCACGAGCCACCACGCCUGGCUAAUUUUUUGUAUCUUUAGUAGAGAUGGGGUUUCACCAUGUUGGCCAGGCUGGUCUCGAACUCCUGACCUCAUGAUCCGUCCGCCUCAGCCUCCCAAAGUGCUGGGAUUACAGACAUGAGCCACUGCUCCCGGCCUAUAUUUUUACUUUCUAUUUACUGACGCGUUGUAUUUUGUUGGGUCUACUCAGUGUUUUAAAGGUUUUUGUUUGUUUGUUUUUUGUUUUUAAGACAGGCUAGUUUCAAACUCCUGGGCUCAAGAAAUCCUCCUUCCUUGGGCUCCUAAAAUGCCGGGAUUACAUGUGUGAGCCACUGGGCCCAACCUAAAGGCACAUUUUUUUUUUUUAAAUAACUUGUCAAUACGUAUUUUAAAACCUGGAUAUUUUAAAAUUUCUCUUGAAAAACUAAAACACAAAAAUAGAAGCUCUAACAACAUUGUCCUGCAUCCUCACAAAAUAUCAGAGGUCUUUGGUUCCCCACCUGUCAUUUUUUGGGCGCCUUUUGCACUUGGUGUUGAAGAAGCAGCAAGAAGUCUCUGGCCUCAAGGAGUUGGGUCUGAUCAGGCACAGACACGGCAGGUAAUGGGGUCAUGCGAAGGUUAAUACUGGGCUCAGCUGAAGGAGAUGUUAUCUCUAAGAAGAUGAUGGAUAUGAAAACGUAAAAUGCUUUCAAAAUGUAGGAAUUGGGCCGGGCGCGGUGGCUCAUGCCUGCAAUCCCAGCACCUUCGGAGGCCAAGGCGGGCGGAUCAUCUGAGGUCAGGAGUUCAAGACCAGCCUAGCCAACAUGGCGAAACCCCAUCUCUACUAAAAAUACAAAAAUUAGCCGGGUGUGGUGGUGGGCGUUUGUAAUCCCAGCUACUCAGGAGGCUGAGACAGGGAGAAUUGCUUGAACCUGGCAGGCGGAGGUUGCAUUGAGCUGAGAUCAUGCCACUGCACUCCAGCUUAGGUGACAGAGCGAGACUCUGCCUCAAAAAAAUAAAGAAAAGAAAAGAAAAUGUAAGAAUUGUGUCCCGAGCUGGGUACAAUUGCAGGCACCUGUAGUCCUGGCGAUUCGGGAGGCUGAAGUGGGAGGAUCACUUGAGGCCAAGAGUUCAAGUCCAGCCUGGGCAACAUGGCAAGACCCCAUAUCUAAAAAAAAAAAAAGAAGAAGAAAAAAGAAAGGAGAAAAAGAAUUGUAUCAUUAUUUGAAAUUUAACAUGCAUAUUUUUUCUCGGUAAAUCACUAAGUUCUUUCAGAAUAAAGGACUAUUUAUG
rnacentral:lncRNA from 10 species